AAGACCCCAAAUGAGAGGGAGGUUGUGACUUCCGAAGCCCUCCACUUUGUGAAAAUAAGCGGAUAUGACCUCUGACCUCAGGAAAGGCUAAAAUGUCCGUUACUUCAAAGAUUUAAAGUGGCACGCGUCCUUCUCAGGAUUUGCGAAUAAAUAAAUGGCAUUGGCAAAAUCUGGAAUAAAGUAUUUCAGAAUAACUUCAAAUCUUCAGAAAGAUUAGACGUAGACAGGAGACAAAGACUCUUUCUGCAAACAACAGUAACGGUUGCAGCAAUCUGAAAAAGACUGCAGGUUUCCUGAUUUGAUGUGGUGCCUGACCUGAGGAUUGGAAAGAACCACUGGUGGUCAGACUCGUGCCAGUGUGAUCUCUCAGGAGGCAGAUCUGAAGUGUGGUCCCUGGACUGGCCCUCUCCUCAACGGGCAGUUACUGGAGUUUACAGUACUGCUGCAGUGAUCCCUUUGCUCUUUUUCAAGAGAAUUUAUGGCAGGAGCAGCAGACAAACAGGCCAUCAGGUGGUGCCGACUACAUAGGACAAGCCAUAAAUAUGGACCUGGCCCAGCACGCCUCCCUGACCGGUGCUCAUGCUCGACGGGUGUUGACACAGCUCGCAGGAAAAGUGGGUCACCAGGAAGCAGACGCAGCUCAUGCAGCAAUCACAGAGUAGGAGUCCCUUCAAGAAAACGUUCUCAGUGUGAAAUUCACCUGCCACCUUCUUCCUGAUGAAGAGGGAUCCUUGCAAUUUAGUGAGUUUUUCACCUCAAGGAAAUGUCUCAUAGGAGAGAUGUCAUAUCUCACCUCUGUAACCCUUAAUAAUGUAAUAAAAGAAGCCUGACCAGCCCUGAAGUGAAAUCUUAAACAUCUUGAAAUCUUGAAAUAAGGAAAAAGGAUUUUCAACAAUAUCGCAUAGCUAGGUGAGUCUUGGUCAGCUGCUUCUUAAAUAUCUACAGACAUCACCUUACAUCUUACAUCACCUUUAAGCUGGUACCAUCUACUCAGUAAAGAUGCUCUUUUAUUUUCUGAGGGGGAAUGGAGUUCUGGGAAACAGGAGAUGUGGUGGGCAGUACUGUAGCCAGCCUUUUAAAUCAGACAUGGCAUUGUGAGUCCUCAUGCUUCUUAUCCUAAUUACUAAUUUAACUAAUUAGCUAGACACGAAGUCAAACCACCUGUAUUUGUGUCUUUAAAUCAGAGGUUUCCAGCUUUGGUCUUGGAGAGCCCCAGUCCAGUUAAUCUUAUAGGUUAACGGUGUUUAAACGUGGACAGCACCUGUCUGUCAGCUGUUGAUGAAUCAGGAAAGUCUGUGCUCAGUUAAAAGAGCUCUAGUAAAGGGCUGAAGAGAAUGUAGAUUUUCGCCCUAAAUGAUCUCUAAAUUCUUAAUUUAACAAAUCACCCGUCUAUGUGAUCACAAUAGAGUUGUUUCAUGUCUCUACAAACUGGUGGUUUAACGCUGGCCUUAUUGGUUGCUAGUUGAAAAGUACCUAUAAAAUACAUCGGACUCCAGCUCUCAAAUUCUCAAAACCUUUUCCUUCUGUUGUAAAUCACUUUCAGGAGAUGCUUUGCAGAAAUGUAUUUUGCAGGAGAUGCUUUGCAGAUCCACACUGUUUAUUUAUGUUUCGAUUGCUCUUGCCAGCUUGGAAACCGAUAUGCCUGAAGUAGACAUUAGGCAAGGGGUUCAGGGCUGAGUCUUCAGAAAACAUAACCCAUGAUAAUAAGUGCUUUGAAAGUGGUUUUUGGAAUUAAAAUGAUUCAGCUUUCUCAAAAAGCAUUUGUUUUCUUAAAAGAGGUGUAUUCAAAAUCUUCUGGCCCAGAACCAUUUCAAAACUCAAACCCCAUUGAAUGUAUCCACACAACAGAAAGUAAUUUCAAAAUCCACAAAUGCAGCUCAGUGUAAACACAAGCAUAGCAACAGGGCUUUCUCUGAUCUUUUUCUCUCCUUCGCAUCUUGUCUUUUAUCUAGCAUGACAAUAAGAUCGUGUGCUUCUUGCGUGUUGUUAUGAAUAAAGUAGUUGAACUUAAUCAAGCACAAGACCUGUAAUAACAUAACUAGGUUUAAAAGUUUUGACAUGUAAAUUAAAUUCCAAACUAUGAAAUCUCUCCAAAUCUUUAUUAAAGCAGAUCAAAAAUGAAGAAACCAGGAUUUAUAGUGAAACACAUAGCGAGGAACACAAGUAGGAAAAAAAGGAGUGGCAUUAAAGAAUAUGAACAGGAGAUACACCUUUACAUAAAGAGUGGCAGGUGACUGCAACUAGUUGCCCAGCUAUAAGAAUACCCUGGAUGUCUUCAUAAAAAAGCUGAGUGAGAUGCUUAGAUCAGCUUGCUACUGGCAGCCAAGAGAGCAGGUAUUCUCCUCUAUAAUAAGUACAUUCUCUUAUGUGCUGGUGGGUCUGAAACAUUUGGAAGAGGCAUCUCACGUAUUAAAUCCCAGAUGUGCACUUUGUCCCUGAGAAGGGGCCUGUCAGAUGCUGCCUGUGCUCAGAGGCUCCUGAAGGGAUAGGGAGAGAGGAGUGCUGACAACAACAGGCAGGAUUUUCCACACAGUUACACAGCUGCAGUCAUUGUCCCUCACACCACCUGUGAGAAUGGAAAAGGACCGGAGCCUUUUAAAAAUGCACCACACUGUCCCCCGGGGAGCCAAACUCUCUUGGGGAUUCUUUGAAUAGAAAUCUCUCUUUAUUUUCAUGGAGUCAUUAAAUGAUGCAAAUGUUUUCAAUAUCCAGAAAAAUGUCAGGUCUCUGUUCAUCAUAGGUUUUGCUGUUUUGUAAGAAGAGACCAUUGUGUGUACACUGAGAUCGGGAACAGAGAAAGUAGUGAAAAGGCACAUGGGGAUGACCUUUAAUGUGUUUCUUGUCGUAUGAAGAAUAGAAACCCAUUCACAUUGCUGUGUGAAUGUGAUGUGAGUGAUGAAGUGGCAGUUUAAAAAAAAGUGCCUUCCAGAAUCUACUGUAUGAUUUAAUUUACAAUGUUAAGGAGUAUUCCUACUCGUCUGCAUGUGAUCAUAACAAAAUCCCCCUGUGACGACGGUGUAUUCGGUUGUCUGUCGCCCGCACUUCACAGUUUCUAAUAACAUCAAAUCCCCUAAAAAC